rnacentral:rRNA from 1 species
GGAUUAGAUACCCUGGUAGUCCACGCCGUAAACGAUGUGAACUAGUCGUCGGGAUUUAGGUCUCGGUGACGCAGCUAACGCAUUAAGUUCACCGCCUGGGGAGUACGGUCGCAAGAUUAAAACUCAAAGGAAUUGACGGGGGCCCGCACAAGCGGUGGAGCAUGUGGUUUAAUUCGACGCAACGCGCAGAACCUUACCAGCCCUUGACAUCCUGGUCGCGGUUAGUGGAGACACUUUCCUUCAGUUCGGCUGGACCAGUGACAGGUGCUGCAUGGCUGUCGUCAGCUCGUGCUG